CUGAAAUCCCCUCCGAUGCCGCCUUAGCUCACAGCGGCCCUUCCCCCACUUACUCGCCCCGCCCCUUUCCCGGUUUCAGAGGGCGGGGGCUCCGCUCCUUCAGGCCUUCUGAGGCAAAUCCUUCCCGCCAAAAAUUCCCGCGCUCCCCAGGCCUCUCAGACGGUGGGUCCAAGACUACUGCAUCCUAGAGUGGCGAAACCCUGUAAAGAACCCUCUUUUACUGUUCUUAGAUAGAGCGUCUCGACUGCCUCUCCUAUCCUGUGUAGUCUACAUCCCGGGCUUCUCUUCUGCGCAUGCCCUGUUCCAUGCUGACGAUUAAAGGACGCCCUGCUGCUGGGGAAACGUUUGGUCCAGUGUGGCAGGGGAUGCGAAGAAUUGUCUUAAAUGUGGAUGUGCUCCUGGGACAGUUGGAAUAAACAGAGACGUGGAAGGGGCUCAAAUGUGACAGGAAGCCAUACUGAAACUACAUAUGUUAUUAAAUAAAUAUGUAAGCAAUAAAUACUGUGGAGAUACUUUUA